AGAGUUUGAUCCUGGCUCAGAGCGAACGCUGGCGGCAGGCCUAACACAUGCAAGUCGAACGAACUCUUCGGAGUUAGUGGCGGACGGGUGAGUAACACGUGGGAACGUGCCUUUAGGUUCGGAAUAGCUCAGGGAAACUUGUGCUAAUACCGAAUGUGCCCUUCGGGGGAAAGAUUUAUCGCCUUUAGAGCGGCCCGCGUCUGAUUAGCUUGUUGGUGGGGUAAUGGCCCACCAAGGCUACGAUCAGUAGCUGGUCUGAGAGGAUGACCAGCCACAUUGGGACUGAGACACGGCCCUAACUCCUACGGGAGGCAGCAGUGGGGACUCUUGCGCAAUGGGCGAAAGCCUGACGCAGCCAUGCCGCGUGUAUGAUGAAGGUCUUAGGAUUGUAAAAUACUUUCACCGGUGAAGAUAAUGACUGUAGCCGAG
rnacentral:rRNA from 1 species